AGUUGUACCAGAUGUUACCUUUUAUGGACUGUUGAAAAAGGUACUUCCUGUGCAAUAGA
ensembl:miRNA mdo-mir-7371o mdo-mir-7371o